AGCGGCCAUAUCAUUAGGAAACACCGGUUCCGGUUCGAUCAUCGAAGUUAAACAAUAUCAAGCCUAGUUAAUACCUAGAUGGCUAGCUACAUGGAAAUAUCAGGUGCUGUAAG